rnacentral:rRNA from 1 species
GUGAAGCUGGAUUCGCUAGUAAUCGCGCAUCAGCCAUGGCGCGGUGAAUACGUUCCCGGGCCUUGUACACACCGCCCGUCAAGCCAUGGGAGCCGGGAGCGCUUGAAGUGCGUCGCCGCGAGGCGCGCCCUAGAGCGAGACCGGUGACUGGGGCUAAGUCGUAACAAGGUAUC